rnacentral:rRNA from 1 species
AUGCACGCUGGCGGCGUGCCUAAUACCUGCAAGUCGAGCGAACAGACGAGGAGCUUGCUCCUCUGACGUUAGCGGCGGACGGGUUAGUAACACGUGGAUAACCUACCUAUAAGACUGGGAUAACUUCGGGAAACCGGAGCUAAUACCGGAUAAUAUAUUGAACCGCAUGGUUCAAUAGUGAAAGACGGUUUUGCUGUCACUUAUAGAUGGAUCCGCGCCGCAUUAGCUAGUUGGUAAGGUAACGGCUUACCAAGGCAACGAUGCGUAGCCGACCUGAGAGGGUGAUCGGCCAAACUGGAACUGAGACACGGUCCAGACUCCUACGGGAGGCAGCAGUAGGGAAUCUUCCGCAAUGGGCGAAAGCCUGACGGAGCAACGCCGCGUGAGUGAUGAAGGUAUUCGGAUCGUAAAACUCUGUUAUUAGGGAAGAACAAAUGUGUAAGUAACUAUGCACGUCUUGACGGUACCUAAUCAGAAAGCCACGGCUAACUACGUG